rnacentral:sRNA from 1 species
ACAUCUAUCUGAAUGAUUUCAGAGUUUUUCAAAUCAAGAAUAUCUAAUAUAUAGAAACAAUUUGAUACAUGCAAUAACAGAAUUUCAGCUCAGAAUCAAACAACUAUUUAAACUAUUCAAUCAAAGAAACUAAUAUCAAGAGAAUAACUGCCAGUCAAUAUAAAUACUUUAAGAAAAAACAGAAUAAAUAAAAGAAGAAUUAUCAAAACAUAUAGAAAAUAUUACUUACAGAGAAUGAAAGCAGAUAGCAUAAUUAAAAACACAAUAAAAUAUACACUUAAAACUAAAACUCAAUUUCAAAACAAUCAAUAUAAAAUAUAAUAAAAAAGAAAAUAUAAUAGAUAAAAAAAAUUAAAAAAAUAAAAAAUAAAGAAAAUUAAGCUUAAAAUUAAACAGAGUCUUAUAGUCA